AAAAGGCUGCGUAAAAUUAUUUUUGCGGCUGGAUAUGUAAAACCCCGUCAGUUUUAUAUAUCUCAAUUAGG
rnacentral:ncRNA from 1 species